rnacentral:rRNA from 1 species
AUUCCAGCUCCAAUAGCGUAUAUUAAAGUUGUUGCAGUUAAAACGCUCGUAGUUGAAAUUGUGGUAAUAACAAUGGGUCAUCUUUAACGAGUAUGUACUUAUUGUUAUUGCCAUUAUUCCGGUAUAUGCGGGGUAACCUGUAUAUUCGGAACUGUUACUUUGAGAAAAUUAGAGUGUUUCAAGCAGGCGUAAUGCUUUGAAUACUCCAGCAUGGAAUGACAACAAAGGACUCAAGUCUUUCUUGUUGGUUUAAGGAGUUGAGUAAUGAUUAAGAGGAACAGUCGGGGGUAUUCGUAUUCAGUCGCUAGAGGUGAAAUUCUUAGAUUGACUGAAGACGAACUACUGCGAAGGCAUCUACCAUGGAUGUUUUCAUUA